CAUACCUGAUUUGUUUGUUGUCCUUGAAGCAAAUACCAUGACAUGAGCUUGAAGAAUUCAAAGAUACAGAAGGUUGACAGAAAGAGGAUACACUGAUUUCAGCUGCGGACACUGAGCUGAGUCUCUCCCUAGCAGGAAUGAUGUCCAUGCUGUUAACCUCUACAAGUUACCCACACUUCAGAUAACCCAAGUGUAGGUUGAUCAGACUGUACAUACACACACAUACACCCUUAUAGUCGGAGGAUCCACGGAGAGCGAUGGAGG